GAGGAGACAUUCUGGUAGAGGAGAGGAGAGGAGACAUUCUGGUAGAGGAGAGGAGAGGAGACAUUCUGGUAGAGGAGAGAAGAGGAGACAUUCUGGUAGAGGAGGUCUGUGGAUUCAAUGGAACUGUUACCGUUCAGCUUUUCAGGUAAAUAUUUUUUUGAGUUUAACAAAUAUUUCUCUGAAAGUUCUGCUUGUAGUUUAUAAAAAGUUAAAGGCUCUACUGAGUGAAGUAAAAUGUUUCUGAUAGUUGCUUUAAGUCAUUUUUUUUAACAAUCUAUGUAAAAACCUAAAGUACUUAUAAUGAAUAGGUUUGAGUGAGUCACAUGUGCUGUGCCCUCUCAUCAUCAAAUUGGCUUGAUUUGCUGUGCCAUUUGAGCUGAGAGUGGGAUCGGGGGACGGGACGAGACGGGGAGGGUACGGGGGGGCCGGCAGCAGGUGUUGGAACAGUUGUUAGGUGAUGUCUCUCUAUCUGUUGUUUACGACGUUGGGACAACGGCACUCUGGAGCAGUAGCAGGACAUGACGCCUCUGUCAGUGGAGCCUGCUCUACUCCGUUUAGAAAAGUGGAGUGACUGUCUGAGUGGCCUUCUUCCUAAGACCAGCCUGUGUGCGCCGGUACUUUGACACACAAACACACACACUACGAGUGGAGAAGAGGAGGAUUCUGGGAUGUGGACGAGACAGUGAAUCGCAGAAAAAGGUAAGGGAAAAGGGGACGUUUCUGAACUCAGACAUCAUUACAAUUCCAACAGCCGCUUUCUCUACUAUCUUUCUCCCUACUUUUCCCUCUCUCCUCCUCCUCCUCCUCCUCCUUUUCCCCACUCCCACCCAUCUCUUCUCUUUUCCCUUCUCUUUCACUCCUUCCCUCUCUUUCUCUCGUUUUCCCUCUCGUCCUAAAGCAGCACGCCUUGCUGUGGCUGGUCAAACGGAACCAAGUCAGGUGUUUCAGUGAGGUUUGGUCCCCUUCAACCAGCUACUGCGUCGUGAACUCAGUCAGCAGACAGACAGACACCCGCAGCGGGAACGAAAGACAGUGUAGCCCUACUGCUGCAUGUUUUUGUGUCUCCAUAAAUCAGAUGUUAAUGUGUUUUUGUGUCUCCAUAAAUCAGUUGUUAAUGUGUUUUUGUGUCUCCAUAAAUCAGGUGUCAUUGUGUUUUUGUGUCUCCAUAAAUCAGGUGUUAAUGUGUUUUGAGUCUCCAUAAAUCAGGUGUUAAUGUGUUUUUGUGUCUCCAUAAAUCAGGUGUCAUUGUGUUUUUGUGUCUCCAUAAAUCAGGUGUUAAUGUGUUUUUGUGUCUCCAUAAAUCAGGUGUCAUUGUGUUUUUGUGUCUCCAUAAAUCA